rnacentral:rRNA from 1 species
GAUGAACGCUGGCGGCGUGCCUAAUACAUGCAAGUCGAGCGAACAGAUGAGGAGCUUGCUCCUCUGACGUUAGCGGCGGACGGGUGAGUAACACGUGGAUAACCUACCUAUAAGACUGGGAUAACUUCGGGAAACCGGAGCUAAUACCGGAUAAUAUAUUGAACCGCUUGGUUCAAUAGUGAAAGACGGUUUUGCUGUCACUUAUAGAUGGAUCCGCGCCGCAUUAGCUAGUUGGUAAGGUAACGGCUUACCAAGGCAACGAUGCGUAGCCGACCUGAGAGGGUGAUCGGCCACACUGGAACUGAGACACGGUCCAGACUCCUACGGGAGGCAGCAGUAGGGAAUCUUCCGCAAUGGGCGAAAGCUUGACGGAGCAACGCCGCGUGAGUGAUGAAGGUCUUCGGAUCGUAAAACUCUGUUAUUAGGGAAGAACAAAUGUGUAAGUAACUAUGCACGUCUUGACGGUACCUAAUCAGAAAGCCACGGCUAACUACGUG